GGCGCGCCCCCCUCCCUCGCUCGGGCGAGGGAAGAGCGGGGCGGCGCCCGCGCGCUACGUGGUGGAACCCGCCCGGCGGGCGCAACAGGAGGCCCGCCCGCGGGGACGGCGCGGCCCGCCGCGUCACGUGACGCUCCCUGCCAACAGGUCGCCUGAGGCAGGGCCCGCGUGUCGUAGGGGGGCGGGGGGAGGGGCGGCCCGCUGCACCCCUCUUUCACCCGGAGGCGAGGACGUCCUCGUGUCUGAGGCUGACGCCGUGGGCUUGACAAAGAGCUGAAUAACGACUAAAGAGAAUUAAGAAGUUGAAACCACAACAUGGAAGACACCUGGGGUUGACAAGCGAGUCAUCGGAGAAGCGCUUCCUAGGAGAGCUGUGUGACCAGGAACACCUCGAGUAAUGUAUUUGCUUUACUAAAGAAUGACUUGUAUGAGAAGAAAAUCUAUUUUCCAUAAAAAUAAAAAAAGAAUGACUGAAAUCUCUCCAACUGCUAUCUAAAA
rnacentral:sRNA from 1 species